rnacentral:tRNA from 1 species
GUUUGAAUAGCUCAGUUGGCAGAGCGGAGGACUGAAAAUCCUUAGGUCGUUGGUUCAAGUCCGACUUUAGACA